rfam:Cavia porcellus supercont2_22 genomic scaffold, whole genome shotgun sequence.
GGGGAUUUAGCUCAGCGGCAUAAGCACUUGCCUUGCAAGCAGGCAGUCCUGAGUUCAAUAGUUCAAUCCCCA